GCCUCAGUAACGGCGAGUGAAGCGGCAAAAGCUCAAAUUUGAAAUCUGGCUCUUUCAGGGUCCGAGUUGUAAUUUGUAGAAGAUGCUUCGGGUGUGGUCCCGGUCUAAGUUCCUUGGAACAGGACGUCAUAGAGGGUGAGAAUCCCGUAUGUGACUGGGUACCUACGCUCAUGUGAAGCUCUUUCGACGAGUCGAGUUGUUUGGGAAUGCAGCUCAAAAUGGGUGGUAAAUUUCAUCUAAAGCUAAAUAUUGGCCAGAGACCGAUAGCGCACAAGUAGAGUGAUCGAAAGAUGAAAAGCACUUUGGAAAGAGAGUUAAACAGUACGUGAAAUUGUUGAAAGGGAAGCGCUUGCAAUCAGACUUGCGCCUAGUUGAUCAUCCGGGCUUCUGCCCGGUGCACUCGAUUAGGCUCAGGCCAGCAUCGGUUUGGGUGGUUGGAUAAAGGCUUGGGGAACGUAGCCUCCUUCGGGGGGUGUUAUAGCCCCAGGUGCAAUGCAGCCUACCUGGACCGAGGACCGCGCUUCGGCUAGGAUGCUGGCGUAAUGGUUGUAAGCGACCCGUCUUGAAACACGGACCAAGGAGUCUAACAUUUAUGCGAGUGUUUGGGUGUUAAACCCAUACGCGUAAUGAAAGUGAACGGAGGUAAGAACCCUUAAGGGUGCAUUAUCGACCGAUCCUGAUGUCUUCGGAUGGAUUUGAGUAAGAGCAUAACUGUUGGGACCCGAAAGAUGGUGAUCUAUACGUGAAUAGGGUGAAGCCAGAGGAAACUCUGGUGGAGGCUCGCAGCGGUUCUGACGUGCAAAUCGAUCGUCAAAUUUGCGUAUAGGGGCGAAAGACUAAUCG
rnacentral:rRNA from 1 species